rnacentral:rRNA from 1 species
UACAGAGGUUGCAAGCGUUGUUCGGAUUUACUGGGCGUAAAGGGCGCGUAGGCGGUGCGACAAGUCACUUGUGAAAUCUCCGGGCUCAACUCGGAACGGCCAAGUGAUACUGUCGUGCUAGAGUGCGGAAGGGCACUGAAUCUCGUGUAGCGGUGAAAUGCGUAGAUAUCGAGAGGAACACCUGCGGCGAAGGCGGGUUGCUGGGCCGACACUGACGCUGAGGCGCGAAAGCCAGGGGAGCGAACGGGAUUAGAAA